UGACCGACCGUUGAUACUUUGCA
rnacentral:siRNA from 1 species